rnacentral:lncRNA from 1 species
UCUGCACAUAAAUGUGUAAAAAGGGUGUUAUGACAGUUUAUACCACAAACUUUACAGUAAGAAAAAGCACUUUUAUGACAAUUCACAAAUUCACAAGGAUCACUUUAAUAUACAAAGCAAUUACUAGCAUUCUGAAACACAAAGCAGUUAGUAUGUACACAAUGUUAAUAAAAAGCAGUGUAACUCAGUACAUGGGGUGGGGGGAAUAAACGCACAAAACAAUAAUUACAAAAUUAAAACAGGGGUGUUUCUAGGAAAUAGAGGAUUCUCAAAUGAAAUUAACCCAUCCCCAGUUCAUAUUUCUUUGCUCAGCAAUUUAAUUUCAAGAGGAAACUUUUUUCAAAGUUCAAUACCCUGUUUUGUGCUGAUUGUUUUGGGUGAAGAAUCAGAAAUGGGGGUGAAUUUUAGUUUCUCUUAAAUAAAAAUAGCAUAGCCAUCCCCAUUCCAGAAACUUGAAAUUUUGCAUUGUGAUUUCUUCAUGUGUAAACUGCCUUCCAAACGUAACGAAGGAGCUUUAGAGAAGGUGCUUCACUUGCACAACUUUCUCUCUGUGUGUUCUUGCAAGCAGAAUGGUCAUACAUAAAGUAGUAGGGUUGUAAAUGGAACUGAAGGCCUAGCAUUUAGUUUCUUCUUAUUUCAAAACAGAAACAAUUCUAUGACACAGAUGUGGAGUGGUAUCUGGCUCAAGUGCAACCGGUAGAAAACAUUUUAAAAACAAUCUCCCAAUUAUUUAUCAUGACCUUAUUGAAUACCAUCAAACUGUUUUAGGUCUCCUCUCCUCUUUCUUCCUGCCUCAGAUUGUCCAUCAAAUCAAUUUGCAGCCACGGCUCAAGUGACUGACUGAUACAGUAGUAUCUUGCUUAGAAUGAUACAGCCAAUGGUUGUUUUUAAAUCUGCACCAAUCUCUAACUUGAUUCCAUUAUCAACAGGUCAAUCGGGAGGAGAAAUUCAAGUGAGGAGAACCUCCAGAUAAUUAAGAGAGGUUUGAUGUGCCUUGGGUUCAAUGUGAGGCUAAGAGGCCACAUGUAAACAAUUCAGCAUAGUUAUUGUGGUAGGCAGUGGCGACUGGGUCAUAUUCAGAAAGCACUGCAAAAGAAUGGCAACCAUAGGACCUCGGUGCUUAAUUUUUGCAGCCACGUAUCCAUAAAUUAACGAGCUAAAUCCCAGCGUAGUUGUUCUCAGUUGCCUCAUUACACUGGGGUAAGCUACAGACCUCUUGACACCAAGCAACUCGGAAAUAAAUGCUGCAUUGGUGAAAACGUACGUGUGCACACAAACCCUGAGAAAGUGAGUGAAAGGGUACAGUAAGAUGCGGUGAGAUUCCUCGCAGGUAUAAGCAAGGGAGGGAUUCAAAAUAACAAUCCUGAACAAACCCUCAUCAUUUCUGACUCUGUAAACAUGACUUUAAAAUGUACGACCGCUCACUUCAAGCUAGCAGGGACCUGCAUUUGCAGUACCAAAAAUACAUUUGUGGUAUUAAAAAAAAAAAAGCCUGUCCGUUCACCUACGACUAUGGUUUACAUACAUUUUGAAGUUCCAAUGUUUCAGGAUGCAAAUAUAUCAGAAUGAAAUAUUUGGGAUUGCAUUCUGAUAUGCCGUCUACCGAUUUCUCAUCUUGCAGUGAAGCGAUGCAAUAAUUCUUAAGCUAUAGUCAGCAUGGAAGAUGAACGUAUCACAAGACAGUGCACUGCUAAAAUUUCAGCACCAUAUAUUUAACAGUUCCAAGCUGGCUGUGCUUCUCAAUGUGCUCAGAACAGAGGUUGGUGUACUUUAUAUCUAGAAAAUUUAGAAGACUUGAUAAAAUCUAUCCAUAGGCAUAAAGUAUGCAACCAUGGGUUUAUAGUAUAUAAAAAUAAACCCAUUUUAAGAGUCUUUAACUUUACAUCAACUCAUCUUAAUUGCCAGCAGGAAACACUCAGGAGUUGUGCUUUCUGAUAAAUCUGGGUGUGUUAUGUAGCUUCACUCUUUAAGGAAAACAAAUCCAUGCAUCUUACAUUUUUUUCAUCUGGACUCUAUCCUUGAAAUGUUCAGUUCUAUUCACAAACUACAAAAUGAAUUUAGUAUCACCAAAAUUUAGUUUCCCCUUUUCUCAUAUGAUUGUUCCAAUAAUUAAAUACAAUCCUCUGCCACAUUUCUAAUGUCAUUAAAAGGACUGUAAUCUUCCUAACUUCCACUGGACUGUAGAUUUUUGGUCCUGCCCUGCAGAUCCCCCUGCAAGAAUUGCCUCUUUUAAAGUUUAUCCUGAGAGUCAGUGGAUUAGCUAAAAGUAAUGAGAUAUAUACAAAUAGCAGGACCACAAUAAAUAUGCUAGACGCUCUUCAGAUUAAGAGCCAAGCUGCAUGAUCAAUACCCUCGAAGGCAAAAUUUGAACUGUACUGCCACUUCACACUGCAGAUGGCAAUUGAAAUGUUUGCCCAAACAUUAAAAACUAAGAUGUCAGUGGAAGGCUAUAGUAGAUCCUUCUCCAUAACACUAGUUUUUUUAUGGGCAGGAUUUUUAAAAAUACAUGUGGGAGCACAAUCAAACAUUCAGUCUCCACCUGCAGCAUGUAGUUGUACAUUCUAGCCUUCAACAGCACCCAAGGCUGCAGGUCAUGUAUUUGAGCUCAUUACCAAAACUGAUUUUGGUCAUACCACAAAAGUUCUCACCUUACUGGGAAUUAUUUAGCUUCAGAUAAUUGUUUCUGAAAUAGAGACACUAUAGAACCACCAGGCUUGUUUACAUGGAUGUGUGCUUUCACACUCAAGCAAUGCUGGAAUAAGAUACUAGAAACCACACAAAAGCAAGAAAACUGGAAAAAU